rnacentral:lncRNA from 1 species
UGCCCCCGAUGCUGCAGGAGCCCUUCAUGGAUCUGGAGGAGGUGAACUGGUGGCUGCAGGUGCUCAUCGUGCCAAGGAGGGAGAUCCCACGCUGGGCCUGGCAGCUCCAUUCAUCCAGCUGAGCUGGGGGAGAGCACCGGUCAUGGGCCCACUCAGGCACGCAUGGAGAGCCUGGUGUGUGUUGUACGGUUCUGUGAGCAGGGAUGACGGGGGCGUUAUUCCUGCCACCAGUCCUCAGAGGGGACAGAGGGGUAACCAGAGACAGGUGGAGAUUCACUCAAAGUCACUCUGCUUUAAGCUGCAGAGCUGCAACUAGAACCCAGACCUCAGCCCUCUCCAGGCUCCCACCAUGCCUGCAGGUGAGGCCAGUAUACCCAACUCUCACCCACCUCCCCACGAUCACUGGCAUGAGGUCUGCCCAGGGUGGGCGUGGCCUUGGCCUGAGAGGCUGGUGCAGCACCGAGGACUGGAGGGAGGAGGAGGGAUCUGGGCACCAAGACGGGGCCUCCUCAGGGUGCCGUGGGGCAUCCCUUGGUGCUGGCCACUGGCCUUGCUCUGCAGUGCCUCUGUUGAGGUGAGGAGCCCAGAGACAGCCUGCCUCUGCCUGGGCUCCACUGGGGCAGGCAAUUCCUUGUCUCAGCAGAACCAGGGUUUUGUCGCUGCUACAUCUCCCCUGGUCACUCUGGGAUCAGAGGUAAGAGCAGAAUGGAUGCACAUGCAUUCAGAGCCAAACCUCAGAGAGGGAACCCGACACUCCCCACCUGAAGGGGUGGCCUGCCCCUCCACAACUGUGGGUGUUUCUCGUGGGGUGGGAUGAGAGACUGAGAAAAGAAAGAGACACAGAGACAAAGUAUAGAGAAAGAAAAAUGGGCCCAGGGGACUGGCGCUCAGCAUACAGAGGACCCACGCUGGCCCCAGUCUCCGAGUUCCCUCAGUAUUUAUUGAUCAUUAUCUCUACCAUCUCUACCAUCUCCCAGAGGGGGAUGUGGCAGGACAAUAGGGUAAUAGUGGGGAGAGGGCCAGCAGGAAAAUGUGAACAAAUGUCUCUGUGUCAUAAACAAGGUUAAGGAAAAGGUGCUGUGCUUUGAUGUGCACAUACAUAAACAUCUCGGUGCAUUAAAGAGCAGUGUUACCGCCAGCAUGUCUCACCUCCAGCCCUAAGGCGGUUUUCUCCUAUCUCAGUAGAUGGAAUAUACAAUCGGGU